GGCGCUGUAGCUUAGAGGUUAAAGCGCCUGUCUCUGAUCUAAACAGGAGAUCCUGGGUUCAAAUCCCAGCAGUGCCU